UCGUUAUGCCAGUUGUUCGUCAUUCUAAGCCGUUCUGUACAUUUCUACUGGAUAUUAACUGGAGUCAUUUAGCUGUGCUGAUGCUGUUUGCCAUGUGUUUUGCAUCAGUGCUUCGUGACAUCGACUGUAUUGCCUGUUUUCGCCGACGGCUUACUACCACAAUGGCGGGAUCCGCGUUCGCCGCCUUCGUGUCUCGGUGUGUCUUCUUUGUACGUCGCACGUUCGGAUAACACUUCUUCCGACGGCUGGACAUCCUUCUUGUACCUUGUCGCUAGCUGGAUGACGGGACCUCAUCGUGAUCAGUGUAUUGCUUGCCAAUGUCUACAAGAACCGUCGCGCGUGGCCUGUGACAGCAAGCUUUUGUGGGCAGCAAGUGCUCUCCUACGAAGGCUGGCCUGCUCUGGCAGCGGCGGCAAUCAUCUUCAAGAUUUAUCCAUGAUCACCUCUGCUGCUAUUUGUCACUCUUGUUAAUUACACUUUCUGCAUCUUUGUUCAUUUAUUAGGUAAUAAAGUAUGAGUAUAUGA